rnacentral:rRNA from 1 species
AGUAAUGUCUGGGAAACUGCCUGAUGGAGGGGGAUAACUGCUGGAAACGGUAGCUAAUACUGCAUAACGUCGCAAGACCAAAGAGGGGGACCUUCGGGCCUCUUGCCAUCGGAUGUGCCCAGAUGGGAUUAGCUAGUAGGUGGGGUAACGGCUCACCUAGGCGACGAUCCCUAGCUGGUCUGAGAGGAUGACCAGCCACACUGGAACUGAGACACGGUCCAG